rnacentral:miRNA from 1 species
AAAAUGUUGCGCUAGUCCAAGA